CUACUAACCUUGGUUUCCUUAUCUUUCUAUGCUCAUUACUCAGCCAGGAUACAUUUUCUACCAAAAUUGUUUGGCAACUGACAUUAUUAGUAAUCUUGAGCAUUCAGUGUAAGUUUUGUUUGAUUCUGUAAGAAUACAUAGGGUGGUAUUCUCGAAAGCGGCCUAAGUUAAAUCAGUGGCCUAAACCUGGUUUAAACCAUGGACUAUCUUUUUUGCUAUUCUCGAAGGUGGCCUAAAGAUAAGCCAGGCUUAAAUACGUCAUAGUUCGGCCUAACUUUAGGCUGCUCAGAGGGCAGGUUUAAAUACGUCAUAGUUCGGCCUAACUUCGCGUGACGUCACUUUUUAAGUUAAUCGACUGUCCGCGGAGAGUGAACGGUUCUUUUCAAUUGAUGCAUGGGGAUGAAAAAAGAAGGCCUCUCCCAAGCUAUGGUGUCCCGCCUUGUGAAGUCCAUCUCAAUAGCCAUUGCCAGGAGAUGGGAGCAAUACAUCACAAUUCCUUCAACAAGAGAGGCAGUCCUGCAGAGUGCAGACCCAACGUGAAUGUUAUAAUUACUGCCAUUUCCCUGGCGUUAAUAUGGUCGGUGCUAUUGAUUGCACCCACGUAGGCAUCUCCAAGCCAGUUGGCCCAACGCCAGUUAUUUCCUGAACAGGAAAAAUAUAAACUACAUUUUUCUUGGAAAGUCUGCUGGAUGAUGUUUUUCUUCAGUAAAAUAAAUGAAGGCAAAUUCCCUGAUAACUGAGACAAAUUCAGAGAGAGGAAGGAGAACUACUGAGCUGCUGAAUUUCUGACAGACAUACUUGCAAGGACUAUGAAGUUCUACUUAGCCUCUUCAAUGAACCAGACUCCAUCUGCUGUAACUGUGACUGCAUGGGGAUCAAAACCUUUGUAUUAUAAUCCUCAUAACAUGAAGCUAUGGUAACAAACAAGCAACCAUUGAUA